AGACCCGAAACCCGGUGAUCUAGCCAUGGGCAGGUUGAAGGUUGGGUAACACUAACUGGAGGACCGAACCGACUAAUGUUGAAAAAUUAGCGGAUGACCUGUGGCUGGGGGUGAAAGGCCAAUCAAACCGGGAGAUAGCUGGUUCUCCCCGAAAGCUAUUUAGGUAGCGCCUCGUGAAUUCAUCUCCGGGGGUAGAGCACUGUUUCGGCUAGGGGGCCAUCCCGGCUUACCAACCCGAUGCAAACUGCGAAUACCGGAGAAUGUUAUCACGGGAGACACACGGCGGGUGCUAACGUCCGUCGUGAAGAGGGAAACAACCCAGACCGCCAGCUAAGGUCCCAAAGUCAUGGUUAAGUGGGAAACGAUGUGGGAAGGCCCAGACAGCCAGGAUGUUGGCUUAGAAGCAGCCAUCAUUUAAAGAAAGCGUAAUAGCUCACUGGUCGAGUCGGCCUGCGCGGAAGAUGUAACGGGGCUAAACCAUGCACCGAAGCUGCGGCAGCGACACUGUGUGUUGUUGGGUAGGGGAGCGUUCUGUAAGCCUGUGAAGGUGUGUCGUGAGGCAUGCUGGAGGUAUCAGAAGUGCGAAUGCUGACAUAAGUAACGAUAAAGCGGGUGAAAAGCCCGCUCGCCGGAAGACCAAGGGUUCCUGUCCAACGUUAAUCGGGGCAGGGUGAGUCGACCCCUAAGGCGAGGCCGAAAGGCGUAGUCGAUGGGAAACGGGUUAAUAUUCCCGUACUUGGUGUUACUGCGAAGGGGGGACGGAGAAGGCUAUGUUGGCCGGGCGACGGUUGUCCCGGUUUAAGCGUGUAGGUGUGUGUUCUAGGUAAAUCCGGUUCACUUUAACACUGAGGCGUGACGACGAGGCACUACGGUGCUGAAGCAACAAAUGCCCUGCUUCCAGGAAAAGCCUCUAAGCAUCAGGUAACAUCAAAUCGUACCCCAAACCGACACAGGUGGUCAGGUAGAGAAUACCAAGGCGCUUGAGAGAACUCGGGUGAAGGAACUAGGCAAAAUGGUGCCGUAACUUCGGGAGAAGGCACGCUGACACGUAGGUGAAGUGAUUUACUCAUGGAGCUGAAGUCAGUCGAAGAUACCAGCUGGCUGCAACUGUUUAUUAAAAACACAGCACUGUGCAAACACGAAAGUGGACGUAUACGGUGUGACGCCUGCCCGGUGCCGGAAGGUUAAUUGAUGGGGUCAGCGCAAGCGAAGCUCCUGAUCGAAGCCCCGGUAAACGGCGGCCGUAACUAUAACGGUCCUAAGGUAGCGAAAUUCCUUGUCGGGUAAGUUCCGACCUGCACGAAUGGCGUAAUGAUGGCCAGGCUGUCUCCACCCGAGACUCAGUGAAAUUGAACUCGCUGUGAAGAUGCAGUGUACCCGCGGCAAGACGGAAAGACCCCGUGAACCUUUACUAUAGCUUGACACUGAACAUUGAGCCUUGAUGUGUAGGAUAGGUGGGAGGCUUUGAAGUGUGGACGCCAGUCUGCAUGGAGCCGACCUUGAAAUACCACCCUUUAAUGUUUGAUGUUCUAACGUGGACCCGUUACCCGGGUUGCGGACAGUGUCUGGUGGGUAGUUUGACUGGGGCGGUCUCCUCCUAAAGAGUAACGGAGGAGCACGAAGGUUGGCUAAUCCUGGUCGGACAUCAGGAGGUUAGUGCAAUGGCAUAAGCCAGCUUGACUGCGAGCGUGACGGCGCGAGCAGGUGCGAAAGCAGGUCAUAGUGAUCCGGUGGUUCUGAAUGGAAGGGCCAUCGCUCAACGGAUAAAAGGUACUCCGGGGAUAACAGGCUGAUACCGCCCAAGAGUUCAUAUCGACGGCGGUGUUUGGCACCUCGAUGUCGGCUCAUCACAUCCUGGGGCUGAAGUAGGUCCCAAGGGUAUGGCUGUUCGCCAUUUAAAGUGGUACGCGAGCUGGGUUUAGAACGUCGUGAGACAGUUCGGUCCCUAUCUGCCGUGGGCGCUGGAGAACUGAGGGGGGCUGCUCCUAGUACGAGAGGACCGGAGUGGACGCAUCACUGGUGUUCGGGUUGUCAUGCCAAUGGCACUGCCCGGUAGCUAAAUGCGGAAGAGAUAAGUGCUGAAAGCAUCUAAGCACGAAACUUGCCCCGA
rnacentral:rRNA from 1 species